UCUAAAUCGAAAUUUUGUCCAAUGACAAAUGCUGAGGCAGUUCUGAAAUUUCCGUGUCCGCCGGCUUCAGUUCUUUGAGUCGUCACAGUAAACAUCAUGGAGGAGGAGAUCAGACGGCGGAAGCCUCUCGUCCGCAAUGUUUAUCUCAGUAGAAAUGUAACACGAAAUGGCGGCCGGAAUCAGAUUCGUCGGAGUUGGAGAAGCGGCGGAAUCAGAAUAGGGGGCAUGAAAUAAAAAGAAUUUUGGUUCCCUGGAAUUUUUACAUCGACAAGAUUCAGUUUGAUAUGUUUCGAAAAAGGUGUCUUGUACCCUCCCUCUCGUUGUCCAUUCGUAUCCUCUUUAGAGCAACAAUUUCACCGGUUCUGAUUUCUCAAUCCAUGCAUACUUGACUGAAAGAGCAUCGUUAUAACAGAAAAUUGUAAGUUCAGGUAAAAAGGACGUCACAAGCAAGACAAGAGUACAAGAUAACUUACAUCACAGACCAAAAGUAGACUGUAGGGAAAUUUAGGGUUUGUGGUGGAGAUCUGGAUACCAACUUGGAUCGUGAUAUCACUUUUCGAACUAAUAUUUCUACCCUAUGCCUAGGUUACUAGAAAUUCAGUCUAGAAUAAUCCAAGUGGACACUCAUGAUUCUAGGCAUAGAAAUUGUAAGCAGAUAUGCAAGAGGAUUCUGUGAAAGUAUAAUGAAAAACGAGAGCUUAAGAUCGUAACCCUCUUCUGAAGAGGAAGAACUGUUUAUAUAUUAAACGAGAUUAGAGUUUCAUUAGCGUUGGGCCGUCAUUAGUUGUUUUGGAAGAAAGUCAUGAUAAUCCGGAUUUAAUGAGGAUUUAGGGUUACUAAAACUAACAAGUUUCGUUAGUUUUACCAUAAUCACCCUCAAGAAAUUGAAUUUUCCACUAUGUUCCUAUAUGUAAAAUUCGGUGAGGUUUUGGGGCGUUGCCCCUCGACCCCACUAAAGGGUCGCUGCCCCAAGACCCCCGACUAGUCGUCAAACCGGCUUCUAAUUCGAUCUUAUAUAUGUGUGCACUCCGCACAACCCCGUACAUAUAUUAGAGUACAAAUUAUGAAGCCCCUUAGCUCACAUGUUAGUUCCAGUUACUUAAAAUGACAUGGUGACACUAAAAUCACCAACAUAGAAGUGUACUCUUUAUCUGCUUUCAAACACCUCAUGAGUUCUACAUGAGUUCUACAGGACUACUCUUUGAUUGUUUUAUGGAAGUAAGUUAAUUGCAUAAGGGUAAAAAUGGAAUCAAUUUUUUUGUCCCACUGAAUAGUACCAUUUGGCUCAAUAACCUUCUCAUUUCUUGUGAAAUUUCUCUUGACUGUUCUCCUAAAAGAACUCAAGGAGAUCCACAGCCACCAUGAAGCAGAAAGGAAACAUCGGUAACCCUAUUAAUAAAAGUGAGGAAAGAAAAUCAAUUUAGCCAACAACCUUUGUAUCAAUAGAUUUGAAAAUAAUCAGUUUAAAAGAAAAUCAAAGUUCGAAUUGCUUGCUACAAGCUGAUUGUAAGUGUUGGUGGGUUUUAAUUAGGGAUCAUUUAUCGGUCUAGAUUCUGAGUGGUGUGUUUCUACUCCUACUUUCUUUUUGCAGCAAGUCAAAAGAAGGAGAAAAUCGCAGAAGAAAGUCGACCCAAGAAAUUGGAAGAACAGAAUCGAGAAAUUAGAACAAAAUCAUUUUCAAAACCCCUAACAAUACAUGAAUGAAAAACAAAUUCGAACUCACAUAUAGUAGUGUAACGACCCGUUCCCGGUAUGCUAAUUUAUUGGUAAUUGUUGUGAGUUUUGCAAGAGGAACUCGGCGAGUUCAUAGCCUGACUCGCCGAGUGGGGUCGCGGCUGAGAGCACGCGUGAGCCGGGGACUCGGCGAGUCCAUAUCCUGGACUCGGCGAGUCCAUCCGUCUGGGUGAAACCCUAACUCCCGGGUUCUUGCUCACUAUUUAAACCCCAUUAUAGCCUCCAUCUCGUCACUUUCCCCCUUAGAGCACUGUGAGAAACCCUAAACCUUCCUCUUGUGAGCUUAUAUGUGAUCUUGUUCCAUUUUGUGAAGGGGUGAAGAAGGAGAAGAAGAAGGAAGCAAGGAAACGAGUUCUAGUGCCAAGAUCCAAGGUCAAGUGUGAACUUAUUCAGCCGAGGAGUUUCGGAAGCAGCAGCCGGUAGCUUUCACACACACACACUCAGCCGCCAGUUUACGAGGUACUUCCGCAAGCAAAGGGAAGAGCUCUGGAUGACGGCAUCGCACACACCACCGCCUCAGCUUUAGCCUGGGAUUGAUUUAGAUGUUUGAUCUGAUGUAGUAUGAUAUAGUUUUUCCGCACAGUAUUUUAUCAUGUUUUGGAAUACA